rnacentral:rRNA from 1 species
UACGAAGGGGGCUAGCGUUGCUCGGAAUGACUGGGCGUAAAGGGCGCGUAGGCGGAUGGCACAGUCAGAUGUGAAAUUCCCGGGCUUAACCUGGGGGCUGCAUUUGAUACGUGUUGUCUAGAGUGAGGAAGAGGGUUGUGGAAUUCCCAGUGUAGCGGUGAAAUGCGUAGAUAUUGGGAGGAACACCAGUGGCGAAGGCGGCUCACUGGACCGGUACUGACGCUGAUGCGCGAAAGCGUGGGGAGCAAACGGGG